UCUUUUAUUUUUAUUAUUAUUAUUUUAAAACAGGGUAUAAUUUAAUAUUAUAUAAAAAUUAAAAAAUAAAAAGUAUUUUUUAAAAACUAACAAUGUAACAUUUUUUUUUUUUAAUAGAAAUCGUCUAAAUUUCUACAAAUUUCACAUCCCUUCCACUCUAAUCCAAAGGGAAAUCUAAAUUAGUUUCUUUUCGUUCCCGUCCUAUAAUUUCUUUUCUGUUUCUUUGCACCAUUAGUGCUCCAAACAAAGGUUUGGCUUUUGUGUUG
rnacentral:misc_RNA from 1 species